CCUACGGGGGGCUGCAGUGGGGAAUAUUGGACAAUGGGGGCAACCCUGAUCCAGCCAUGCCGCGUGUGUGAAGAAGGCCCUCGGGUUGUAAAGCACUUUCAGUGAGGAAGAACGCCUGGUGGUUAAUACCCAUCAGGAAAGACAUCACUCACAGAAGAAGCACCGGCUAACUCCGUGCCAGCAGCCGCGGUAAUACGGAGGGUGCGAGCGUGAAUCGGAAUUACUGGGCGUAAAGCGCGCGUAGGUGGCUUGAUAAGCCGGUUGUGAAAGCCCCGGGCUCAACCUGGGAACGGCAGCCGGAACUGUCAAGCUAGAGUGCAGGAGAGGAAGGUAGAAUUCCCGGUGUAGCGGUGAAAUGCGUAGAGAUCGGGAGGAAUACCAGUGGCGAAGGCGGCCUUCUGGACUGACACUGACACUGAGGUGCGAAAGCGUGGGUAGCAAACAGGAUUAGAUACCCUUGUAGUC
rnacentral:rRNA from 1 species